CCUACGGGUGGCAGCAGUGGGGAAUAUUGGACAAUGGGCGAAAGCCUGAUCCAGCCAUGCCGCGUGUGUGAAGAAGGCCUUCGGGUUGUAAAGCACUUUCAGUGGGGAAGAAAGCCUUGGGGCUAAUACCCUCGAGGAAGGACAUCACCCACAGAAGAAGCACCGGCUAACUCCGUGCCAGCAGCCGCGGUAAUACGGAGGGUGCGAGCGUUAAUCGGAAUUACUGGGCGUAAAGCGCGCGUAGGCGGUCUGAUAAGCCGGUUGUGAAAGCCCCGGGCUCAACCUGGGAACGGCAUCCGGAACUGUCAGGCUAGAGUGCAGGAGAGGAAGGUAGAAUUCCCGGUGUAGCGGUGAAAUGCGUAGAGAUCGGGAGGAAUACCAGUGGCGAAGGCGGCCUUCUGGACUGACACUGACGCUGAGGUGUGAAAGCGUGGGUAGCAAACAGGAUUAGAUACCCGAGUAGUC
rnacentral:rRNA from 1 species